GGGCCCGCACAAGCGGUGGAGCAUGUGGUUUAAUUCGAUGAUACGCGAGGAACCUUACCAGGACUUAAAUGUAAGUUGCAUGAUUCAGAAAUGAAUCUUUCUUCGGACUACUUACAAGGUGCUGCAUGGUUGUCGUCAGCUCGUGCCGUGAGGUGUCAGGUUAAGUCCUAUAACGAGCGCAACCCCUAUCGUUAGUUGCCAUCGGUUCGGCCGGGCACUCUGGAGGAACUGCCGGUGACAAGCCGGAGGAAGGUGGGGAUGACGUCAAGUCCUCAUGGCCCUUAUGGGCUGGGCUACACACGUGCUACAAUGGCGGUGACAAUGGGCAGCGAAGGGGUGACCCGGAGCAAAUCUCAAAAAGCCGUCUCAGUUCGGAUUGUACUCUGCAACUCGACUCCGUGAAGUCGGAAUUGCUAGUAA
rnacentral:rRNA from 1 species